CUGAGAACAUUGCACUCGAAGCGGAAACAGGACCUGAAGGAGCCCUCUCAGGCAGGACUGACGUGCUGGAGCCAAAUCACCCUGCCCAAGACGGUCUGCACUCAAGGCGUCUCCAGAGCUGACAGGAAAUGAUUCAAGCCCAAGAUGUUGUGUCUCAGAGUUAUCUGCAUAGAUGGAGAUGCUGGAAGACCAUGGAGCGCAGCUUCCCACAGAAAAUCAUCAGUUCCUCUGGUCCGGAGGUUCUCUGGAACAAUCCUCUUCAGUCUCCUCUGAGCAGGACAAGUUUAGUGCGCUCAUCACGGGGUGCACCCAGGACGUAAUCUGUGUUACGUGAUUGAUGAAGUACUCGAUUCCACCUGCUGUGAAUCACCUGUCUCCUGAGAAAUCUGUGAAUUUAAUAUACUGGAAAUUUCAUGUGCACCAACGUUGGCUUCAUCCAAUUGCAAGUAAAACAAGUUUCUGGCAACAUGGACAAAAUCUCCAAAAGAUACCAUCCCCUUUGGGUCUACUUGUACUUGCUGUCUCAGAGCUUGGUGGUAUUCUUUUGUGGGCUGAAUUCCAAGAUAAUUUAGAGUCAUUUCCAGUUUCCCUACCUUAACGCAAACAGACGGAUUUAGGGAAACCUUUCCUUGUGGCCCAUAGUUAUCAGUCCAAGCAGGGGCAAUAUCUGUAUUAGACAUAUCUGUAGGGCUGUUGUCUGAAGAAGUAACUGGAAUCUGUUCUGUUUUCUUGUAUCCAGUUUUUAUCUGAUUCCUCCUAAAAGAAGGUAAAAUGGCGUCUGUAUUCUGGGAGUGGAUGAGGUCUUUGGAAUUAGUGUUUCAGGAGAAGAAAUAAGGCUAAAUUUUGAGGCUCGAGGUCCAUAUUCUCCUGUAGCUUGUAAAAGGGAUGAACAAGAUGGAUUUUCCAAAUGGCUGCUGUCGGAUUUCUGUCUUAUGAAUGCUGUCUCCCAAAAAGAUUCUGACCUCAACUUGGCUCUGGUAAUUAUGCUUUUUGCUUCUUCGAAUGAUACACCAAUCAUGGACUCCUUGUUUACUGAGACAAGUUGAUCUCCUGGUUUCAAACAUCCAUCCUUAUAACAGUCUCCUCCAGGAAUGAUUUCCUGAAUAUAUACCAAUGGACCUUCAUUCCAGUUAAUUCCUCCUAGGAUCUUCAGACCAAGGCCUGUUUUCUUGGUAACUGUAAUCACCUGAAAGGUAGGAUCCUUUUCAAGUAGACUGGAUGAUACUACAGAAGAUGUAUUUUUAUUCAUGGUUUCACUACAACUGUAGCCUUGGAUUUAACAGCUGCGUAAAUGAAGAUCUUGAUGAAGAGUCUAUAAAUUCUUCUUUUUCCUAUCUUGAGGGACUUCCUGCAGACAUUACUCUGACUCAUAUUACUCCAAGAGCUUCUUAAAUGCUUUCCCAGCCACCCGGCCUCCGUAGCCCAACCGCAAAAGUGGCCGUGUUAGGUGCUGUGUAUAAAGCAACCCAACAUGGAUUCCUGUCACCUUGAAGCUCAGUUUGCAGGAACAAACAUGAGUCACACAUGUAACUAAACGUAUUGUUACAGAAUAUGAUAGAGGAUCUAAAGUGUACUUUAGACCCUGUAGGGUGGGGCUCUGAGGAAGAUGGUCAGGGAACACCUGGUUUAGGUAGGUCCUUACGCUGAAAGGGACUCUCACAGUGGGCUCUAAAGGAGCCAGGAGAAGAAUGGGAGGCAAGGGUAGGAGAACCUGGAUGGGCAAAAGCUCUGAGAUGAGGCAGGUAGCUUGGUGGCUUGGAGGAGGAAGCAGCCUGGGGUCUGGGGUGGAGCCCCUGCUCUUUGAACUUGAGCAAAGCAAAAUCAGCGCAGUGUUUCAAAGAGAAGGGUGUGGAAGUGGAUCCAUGUUUUUCAGGACUCAGCCUGGUUGCUAUGAAAGAUAAGGGGCGAGAGAGGAUGUCAGGAGAGUAAGGGAGGGACUUCUCUGAUGGUCCAGUGGUUAAGAUUCUGCACUUCCAAUGCCAGGGACGAGAGUUCUAUCCCUGGGCAGUAAACUAGGCUCCCACGUGCCAUGCCGUGUGGCCACAAGACACACAAAAAAAGAAACCCCCCCAAAAAAGAGAGAGAGAUAAAGUAAGGGAAACAUGGUGACUGUGAGCAUUAACAGGAGCCUUAGAAGGUGGAAAGGAUCUGUUGGAGUAAGGAGUUGUGCACAGUAUUUGGGAUAAAGCAAAAAAUGUCAGUGAAGGCAGAGAGGCAGGCUCGUCUGAAGCGACUUGGAGCAGGUGUGCGAUCAGGGUGGAGGGGAGGGGAUGAGCAGAAUGGCAGUUUCUGAGCCUCAGACUGUCCAUCUCUCAAGAAAAUCUGGAUAUACCUGUGGCUAACUCAUAUUUAUGUAUGACAGAAACCAAGGCCAUAUUGUAAAGCAAUUAUCCCUCAAUAAAAAGUAAAUAAAUGAAAAAUAAAAGAAUGAUGAACAACAACAAAAAAAUAAAUAAAUGGAGGACAUGAGGUUGCAAAUGAAAAAAGAAAAAUCUGGAAGAAACUGCCUCAUUCUCUUUCUUACACCACUGCCACACUGAUCCAGUAGAAGUAAGGAUCUUUGUCUUUUCUGGGUUUGUCCCAAUCUCUUGGCAACAUCUCCAGUUGAAUCUUAAUAGCUCCUGGGUUUACUUUGGGAAUUUUGCUCUUUAGAGAGAUAUUUGACAGAUUUUUUUUGCCCCUUGAACUUCUUUGAUGAUAAUAGAAAUCUUUGAAAGUCAGAUACACCCUAAAAAAAAAAAUCACUGUCCACGUCCCUGACUCCAAUGAGCCAUACAACAUGGUCAAGCAGUAACAAUCUGAUGUUCUGUAGCAUCCAGGUGACACCCUCUGACCAUGGGGACUUUGGAGGGUGCAACCAGGAGUGAAUAGUAGGGACCCCCAGUGUUCCCACAGCUGAAUGAAUAUGGCCCCUAAGGUCACUGAUGAAAAUGGCUUUGUGACUGAAGAAAGCGUUGCCCUUUGCGUGUGAUUAGUGUGUGAUUAGUAAGACAGAGAUGACGCUAUUCUUUCAAAGUCCUCCCAUGACCAAAUUUGGCCUCCGGAGAACGGGGUAGAAACAUUUCAUAUGAGUCAUGCCUGUUUGCCUCAUGUCUGUCAUUAGUUGCUAUGGAAACCACUCAGCACAGCCCAUGGGUUCAGAAUUCCUGCAGUGAGCCUCCAACUUAGCCCCAGUUUGUACAGCAAACAAGUUUGCUUACUUUGUUAAUCUUUAGCUACUUCCUGCCUGGUUCAAAUUGGAAGCUGAAGAACUCAGAACAGCGGAGAGCACAGGGUGCCUUUUCCAGGAGGUGAAGGAGACCUGGUUCAAGUCCUGGGUCAGGAAGAUCCCCUAGAGGAGCAAAUGGCAACCCUCUCCAGUAUUCUUGCGUGGAGAACCCCAUGGACAGAGGAGCCUGGCGGGCUACAGUCCAUGGGAUCACAAAGAGUCAGAUACCACUGAGUUGCUGAGCACCAGGAUUGACAAGCAAUAGUCCAUUGUAUGGAUACACCACAUUUUACUUAUCGAUCCAUCAUUUAAUGGACAUUUGGGUUGUUUCCAGUUUUUAAUUAUUGUGAAUAAUGCUGCUAUAGAAUUGUAGAAUUUUAAGCCCAGAAAGUAGCAUAUAGCUUAUUUAGUCCAUUCACUCUCAGUUGACAGAGAUUCUAAUGAAGCAGCGGAAAAGGUAGGUGAAUAGGCCAAGUCAUUGCUUUUCAGUUGCAAAACUUGAACUCAGGUCUUCUAAAUAUCCUAUGAAUGUUAUUUCUAUCUCCACC
ensembl:lncRNA